rnacentral:lncRNA from 1 species
CUCAACCACUCAGUCAAGAGUAAUUUGUUGUCAAACUACUGCAAUCAAUGAUACAUAGAAUAAAUGCGUAAGAUGUAUGACCCAGUCAAAAUAAACAAACUAAAUAUAUUAAGGCUACAAAUCAGACUGUGACAUUUGGAAACUUGAGUUAGUUAAUAUAAAUUUAAAUGAAAACAAAAAGAUUUUGUUGUAGCAACUGAAAAGCCUCAUGUUCAUUGUCUUCUUCUCCAUUCCAUACAAAAUCAUGGACAAUUCAUCUUUGAGCUUCACGGUAUAAAUGAGCAUUCAUUGUACUCAGAUCCGAUCAUGCAUGCUAGGAGUGAAAUCAGAAUUAAGCAAUUUUAUGGGAGUGCAGAAAAAUCGGGCUUCACAAUGAAGAACCCUAAAACUUCAAAUCCAAAUGGGAUGGAUAUGGUGGAUGGAAAACGCAAUUAAACAUGGGGGAAAUACUCGUUAGGUCCUGAUGCACAACAUGGUAUCAAGUUUUUCUCAAAAAUAAAGCUCGAACUACCUGCACUGAGUUGAGCUCGAAGGUAUGAAAAAGGCAGAUCUGCAAUCUCGAACAUGUAAGUGUUUCCUUCUUCUUUCGAUCCUAAUGGCUUCAGGGUAUAUGAGGGGUUGAUUAUGGAUAGGAAAAAUAGUUGGGAAUAAUGUGUAUGGAGGAGUCCGAAUGCACUGUUUAGGUGAGGUUGUGGUGGAAAUUUGACAGAACUUUUGUGGCUUUCUAAGCUUCGAUUUGGAGUGAGCUAGGAGGUUAUUAUAUAGACUGGGUGAAGGGAAAAUGGUACGUGCAAAUUUGAUUCCAAAAUGAUGUGAGAAAAUGAAUUGUGGCUUAUUUUUUGCAUGACCUUGUGAGCUGGCAAAUGUGAUGUUGCAACGGUCCUUUGGCAAUGUAAAUCCUUUCCUGGUUUCAUGGGGGAGCUGGAAAAUGAUAGUGUACUGGUUGAGGGACCAGUAGUCGUUGGAAACUUGGUGAAAAGAUCAGAGAAUGCAAGGUAUUUUCGUUAUGCUUUUUACUGCAAUUGUACUGUCCUUUUCAUUGUGCAUAUUGCAACUUUUUGUCCAUUUGAAAUUCCUUUAAUUAUUGGACUGGGCUGGUUUAGUAUGUCACCCAAAUCGGAUCCUUGCACGCCAUUUUGAUUCCAAAAAAUCAUGUUUAAGAAAUGAUGAUUUGAUAAUGAUUUUUGCUACUUUUUUUGUGAUAAAAUCCACUCAUAUGCAUUGAAUCCAUGAUGAAUGGAUGUGUUUAGUGAAGCUUGGAAUUGAAUGGAUGUUGAUGUUAGCUUCAUUAUGGAAUGCUUCAUUUUGAGCUCUUAAUGUUUAUGACAUGGUAAGAACCAAAUUGGAUUAUGUGCAUUUUUUCUCUUCAUGUUCUUGACUUGUACCGGUAUGGAACUUGAAAGUUCAUUUUGUGAUGUUGUAUGAAAAUGAAUCAAAUGGUCAUGAUGCUUGAUAUUCCUCAUGUACACUUCCAUCAUUCAUGUUCUUGUUUGAUUUAUUUGCUUUUGAUUCAUGGUGCAUUCUAAUGGAUGGAAUGCUUUUGUUUGGUAGGUGAUGGUUUGCAUUGCAAGGCAUGGAAAUGGUGAAGAAACCACUCAAAACCAAUCACUAAAUCUUGACAUAAAAGGGAAACUUGAUUUGG